rnacentral:sRNA from 1 species
CACACACACACACACACACUGAAGCAUUAAAAAACUUUAUGGUUAUUAUCAAUUAAUGUUUGAUAUAUGAUGUGCAAAGGUUUCUCAAAAAAAAAAAAGGUCUGAAUAGAAAAGUUGUAGAAACCUCAGUGUAGCAGACACUAAACCCCUUUGUGGCUGGACACCUUGUUGUUGACUUGGUUCUGACCUUGUAGUGCAAACGCAACCACCGAUAAUUGCUGAGCUCAUCAAUGAAUGUGCUCGAAUAAUGCUCCACUAACAUGGGAGUGUGAAUUCCACGUAAAUGCUCCACUAACACGGGAGUGUGAAUUCCACGUAAUUUUUGCAUGUCACCAAAGAGUAUUGUUUUAUCGGAAAAUGUCUAGCUAUUUAAAAUUCAAAAAGCCAUUACUAUCUCUGAGACCAUUCAAAAGUAUGGGGUGGAUUGGAUUUGGCUUGUGGGUCGAGGUUUGUGGACUCUUGGUUGAAACUGGUGCUUUCUAAUUUUACUGGGUAUGUACAACGCCGACAGUCCUGUUAAGAUGUCAUCAGCCUGGUGUGGUGGCACGAAUCUGUCAUCCUCCCACUGGGGAAGCUGAAGCAAGAUUGUGAGUUCCGGCCAGCCUGGGCUACAUAGUAAGAUCCUGCAUGCAACCCCUGAAAAGAGCAACCAAAUCAAUAAAGAUGCAGGCUAACUCGGGGUAUGGAAUAGAAAGCAGAGAGCUUGCAUCCUCCCCACCCUCGCUCACUCCCAGAGACAUUUCACUCCGUUUAGCAGACUAGCUCCCGGCAGUCUGAGUGGGAAAGUGCUGCCGUAAAGAAGCCCUGAAAGAUCCCAUUUGCCAGGGUCGUGGCCAGUCAUUCAUUCAGGAAAUAUUUGCUGAGUUCUCUGCUUCUGUCAGUGUGGGCAGCAGCACCCCAGGCGUUGGUUAAAAGCUGCCUUCUACAGUCCUGUGGAACUCUGUCAGAAGGCGGAACAGUGCUAAGGAGGUUUGUAUUCUGGGACAGAAGCUCCGGAAGAGGUUUGCAAUGGGAUUGGGCUAGUGCUGAGAAGGUCACAUGAGAACGGCUUCUCCAUGGCCUUGCUAAUGACUGUGUGUGGGAAACACGUUAGCUGACAGGCAAUCCCGCUAGGCUCCUUCUAGCUUACUUAUCGCCUGCCGCCAUUACCUGCCAGAUGCAGGUGUCUAUAAAAGGACUGCUCGCCACUCCAGUUCUCUCUGUGUGUCCCCACAUGUUCCUGGCUGGUCUCUGUCCCCACUCUGUCCUUCCUUGUCCGAGUUCUCUACCCUCGUGACUCUACUCCCAUCCCAUCACAACAACUAUGACAGACAACCUGUCUGUCUCUACCUUUGCUCUGGUCCUCAUUCUCCUCCCUUCUCCCAAAUAAACCUCCUUUAUACCAGAUCGAUUGCAUGGUGAUUUCUCAGGGACACCUUGGCACGGGCCUGCCAGGUACUCCCUCGCCGCCUUCUAUUUCAAAGCAGAAGGCAUACCUCAUCUGUGCCCUCCUCCUGGCAUACUGAGCCCACUCUCUGGUCUGUAUAUUUCUUCUUUCUCAAUUGUGUU